CAACACUUUAAUCUAAUUAAGAGACAUUUAUUAAAUAUACUCUUAUUUAAGAAGUGUUCCUUACAAAUUCAUAAGCACUAAAAUCUAUUUAAUUGAUAUAAUGAGAGGAUGAACUUUAUAAAUCAUAAAGUGAUAAAAUUAUGUUAUAUAUAUAUAUAUGCAAAAAGGGAAAAUAUAUAUGGAUGCAAUUGUCAAGUUUGUUAAUAUUAUCAUUAUCUUUCUUUCCUUAUUCAAUGUUGCAACGAACGCUGCAGGUAAUCCAGGUAAAAAAUGUUUUGGUACAUCUGAUUGUCCAAGAACUAUGUGCCCAACUUUUAUGAUUGUGCACUGUAUUAGAAAAAAAUGUCUAUGUGUUUUAAUGUAAUUAGAAGAUUAAGUUCCCACAUGAUUCCGUAGUGCCAGAUCCAAGAGCUUACACAUAGACACUACAAUAAUAUUCUAUGAGUUUUUUUUUUUUGACGAAAAUAAUAUUCUAUGAGUUGUUAUUUAA